rnacentral:rRNA from 1 species
GCAGUCGAACGGCAGCGCGGGAGCAAUCCUGGCGGCGAGUGGCGAACGGGUGAGUAAUACAUCGGAACGUGCCCAAUCGUGGGGGAUAACGCAGCGAAAGCUGUGCUAAUACCGCAUACGAUCUACGGAUGAAAGCAGGGGAUCGCAAGACCUUGCGCGAAUGGAGCGGCCGAUGGCAGAUUAGGUAGUUGGUGAGGUAAAGGCUCACCAAGCCUUCGAUCUGUAGCUGGUCUGAGAGGACGACCAGCCACACUGGGACUGAGACACGGCCCAGACUCCUACGGGAGGCAGCAGUGGGGAAUUUUGGACAAUGGGCGAAAGCCUGAUCCAGCCAUGCCGCGUGCAGGAUGAAGGCCUUCGGGUUGUAAACUGCUUUUGUACGGAACGAAACGGCCUUUUCUAAUAAAGAGGGCUAAUGACGGUACCGUAAGAAUAAGCACCGGCUAACUACGUGCCAGCAGCCGCGGUAAUACGUAGGGUGCAAGCGUUAAUCGGAAUUACUGGGCGUAAAGCGUGCGCAGGCGGUUAUGUAAGACAGUUGUGNAAUCCCCGGGCUCAACCUGGGAACUGCAUCUGUGACUGCAUAGCUAGAGUACGGUAGAGGGGGAUGGAAUUCCGCGUGU